GAUGAACGCUGGCGGUAUGCUUAACACAUGCAAGUCGAACGGACUCUUCGGAGUUAGUGGCGGACGGGUGAGUAACGCGUGAGAAUCUGGCUUUGGGUUCGGGACAACCACUGGAAACGGUGGCUAAUACCGGAUGUGCCGAGAGGUAAAAGAGAAAUUGCCUGAAGAUGAGCUCGCGUCUGAUUAGCUAGUUGGUGAGGUAAAGGCUCACCAAGGCAGCGAUCAGUAGCUGGUCUGAGAGGAUGACCAGCCACACUGGGACUGAGACACAGCCCAGACGCCUACGGGAGGCAGCAGUGGGGAAUUUUCCGCAAUGGGCGAAAGCCUGACGGAGCUAUACCGAGUGAGGGAAGAAGGCUCUUGGGUUGUAAACCUCUUUUCUUAGGGAAGAACAAAAUGACGGUACCUAAGGAAUCAGCAUCGGCUAACUCCGUG
rnacentral:rRNA from 1 species